UCGGGAGUGCCCUCGUGGCUCAACCUACAACCCAAUGUUUUAAACACCUUUGUUUCUUUGGCGGGUUCGCCCGUCAGAAGAAUUCUCAAACUCAUUAUAAACGUGUCUUCUGAAUAACAAAAUAAAAUAAAAAUA
rnacentral:misc_RNA from 1 species